CAGUUAUAGUGAAAUAUUCUAUGAAAGUAGCUUUAGUAUUCUGAACACCCUAUAGCUAAGGUACAAACUGGGAUUAGAUACCCCACUAUGCUUAGCCCUAAACUUCAGUAACUUAAUUAACAAAAUUAUUCGCCAGAACACUACAAGCAAUAGCUUGUCAAAGGACCUGGCGGUGCUUUACAUCCGUCCAGAGGAGCCUGUUCUAUAAUCGAUACACCCCGAUAUACCUCACCACCUCUUGCCCUCAGCCUGUAUACUGCCAUCUUCAGCAAACUCCUUAAUGAUUGUAAAGUCAGCAGAAGUAUCAUCAUAAAAACAUUUGGUCAAGGUGCAGCCAAUGACAUGCAAAGAAAUGGGCUACAUUUUCUAAAUUAGAAAACUACACGAUAGCCUUUAUGAAAUCUAAAGGCCUAAGGUGGAUUUAGGAGUAAACCAAGAAUAGAGAGCUUGAUUGAAACAAGGCCAUUAAGCACACACACACACACCACCCGUCACCCUCCUCAAACAUCACAUAAAAGUACAUUAACAAUAAACCACUACACACUGAUAUAGAGGGGAUAAGUCGUAACAUGGAAAGCGUACUGGAAAGUGCGCUUGGACAAAUCAAAGC
rnacentral:ncRNA from 1 species